GGGGAAUAUUGGACAAUGGGCGCAAGCCUGAUCCAGCCAUGCCGCGUGAGUGAUGAAGGCCUUAGGGUUGUAAAGCUCUUUUAUCCGGGACGAUAAUGACGGUACCGGAGGAAUAAGCCCCGGCUAACUUCGUGCCAGCAGCCGCGGUAAUACGAAGGGGGCUAGCGUUGCUCGGAAUCACUGGGCGUAAAGGGCGCGUAGGCGGCGUUUUAAGUCGGGGGUGAAAGCCUGUGGCUCAACCACAGAAUGGCCUUCGAUACUGGGACGCUUGAGUAUGGUAGAGGUUGGUGGAACUGCGAGUGUAGAGGUGAAAUUCGUAGAUAUUCGCAAGAACACCGGUGGCGAAGGCGGCCAACUGGACCAUUACUGACGCUGAGGCGCGAAAGCGUGGGGAGCAAAC
rnacentral:rRNA from 1 species